GCCUGCCUGGCUUAGGCAGUAGAGCAUGUGACUCUUGAUCUCGGAGUCAUGAGUUCAAGCCCCAUGUUGGGCA
rnacentral:tRNA from 1 species